UAUUUCUCAAAGGCGGUGUGUUUGUUGUACGAGUGCACAUGUCCGUUUACAGGCCCAUCUCCCCGUAUUCCAUCCAUUUUGAAGGGUGAAAAUCAAGCGAAUCAAUUCUCUCUCAUCUGCAUUUAGGCUCAUCGUUUUCUCCACCGCUGUGUCAUCGACCAAGCCAUUGUAAUCUCAAAUCUCAAUACCGGCAGAAAGCAUACCCUAGUUCCGAAAUCUAUACCUCUAACAUUCAAGUCUUACAAAGGUAUUCUCAUUCUCAUUCUCAUUUUCAUUAAAAACCUAACCUCUGCACGAGAAAUCAGGUGAUUCUCGAGAAACUAAAGAGAAACGGAUGUCAAAAUUCCUUUACGUAGAACUUGAAGAGCAUGCAAUUGUUUUGGAAUCAGGUCGCUCAUAAAGAGGUACUAAUAAUCAGUUGCAUCCCCCUCCCAGUUCCAUCUAGGUUUGAAGAGAUUCAAAAUAAAGCAGUGAAGAGCUUGAACCACUCAUGGAUAAAGCAGAGCUUGCUAUCCUGGACCAACUCUUGGAUUUCUAUAGAUACUCUGAUCAAAAUCGCCGAUUAUGGAUACUUGCAAUGUGUACUGUUGAAGAAGAUUGGAAUGUUGUAGAGGUGCUUGAUUGAUAUGCAUGGGUGUUCACAAUAACAGGGAAGUGUAUUCGUCUUAUGGGGGGUAUGCGGAAGCCGUAGGGGAAACCACAUUUGUUCGUUGCUCUCGAGUUACGGAGAAUUCCUGAAUUUGAGUUGAGAUAUAGGCUUGGGUUUGCUUUUGGUGGUCUGUUAUGUUGAUCUCCGUUUGACGCACAGCUAUGAGAAGCCUAUAAAUUCCCACUGUCCUCCCAGUUUCGUCUCAUUUUUAUUGAUCCAACCUUAGUAAGGAGUGCUGAGCAUGGAAACGAUGAAGAAGGAAAUAACUGAAAAAUGUGGCUACCGGGAUAAGGAGAACACAAAUAAGUACCCUUGCUGAUGUUGUGCUGGGAUUGGAUUCCAUUGAACGGUUGAACAAUAUUUGGUGAGUUAUGAUCCACAUCUUGCUGAUCUAUCUAAAGCUCCAAACGACAUUAUGACAUUAGCCUGUAGUCAUUCAAGAAAUUUUCUGAGAAUCAAGCGAGCAACCAAUACAAUUCAGUUUUUUUUUCCAAGCUGAUUUUAGCUACAGAAAAUGAGUGUAUCCUCCUAUGAGCAAUAUAAACUCCUAAAUAUGGAUAUCAUAAAGUAUAUAGUUGAGAUCCAGGAUUGACACAAUAUCAGAUCUCAUGAGUUGGAUAUUUAGGACUUUGAUAUGUUUUUUACAGGGAUUUUCCCGUGAAAGAUCAAGAAUAUAAAGUUUAGGACGAGACUCUUGCUUCUAUCACAGAUGGGACUUAUGUACACCCUUCAAGCAAAAGAACAAUUCUAACUCCUGUGAAUAAUCUCAAACAUACAUUAUAGCUUUCAAAUCGCCUUUAGUUCACUUAA